rnacentral:rRNA from 1 species
GAUGAACGCUGGCGGCGUGCCUAAUACAUGCAAGUCGAGCGAAUGGAUUGAGAGCUUGCUCUUAUGAAGUUAGCGGCGGACGGGUGAGUAACACGUGGGUAACCUGCCCAUAAGACUGGGAUAACUCCGGGAAACCGGGGCUAAUACCGGAUAAUAUUUUGAACUGCAUGGUUCAAAAUUGAAAGGCGGCUUCGGCUGUCACUUAUGGAUGGACCCGCGUCGCAUUAGCUAGUUGGUGAGGUAACGGCUCACCAAGGCAAAGAUGCGUAGCCGACCUGAGAGGGUGAUCGGCCACACUGGGACUGAGACACGGCCCAGACUCCUACGGGAGGCAGAAGUAGGGAAUCUUCCGCAAUGGACGAAAGUCUGACGGAGCAACGCCGCGUGAGUGAUGAAGGCUUUCGGGUCGUAAAACUCUGUUGUUAGGGAAGAACAAGUGCUAGUUGAAUAAGCUGGCACCUUGACGGUACCUAACCAGAAAGCCACGGCUAACUACGUGCCAGCCGCCGCGGUAA